GUAACCUGCCCAAGAGACUGGGAUAACACCUGGAAACAGAUGCUAAUACCGGAUAACAACACUAGACGCAUGUCUAGAGUUUGAAAGAUGGUUCUGCUAUCACUCUUGGAUGGACCUGCGGUGCAUUAGCUAGUUGGUAAGGUAACGGCUUACCAAGGCAAUGAUGCAUAGCCGAGUUGAGAGACUGAUCGGCCACAUUGGGACUGAGACACGGCCCAAACUCCUACGGGAGGCAGCAGUAGGGAAUCUUCCACAAUGGACGAAAGUCUGAUGGAGCAACGCCGCGUGAGUGAAGAAGGGUUUCGGCUCGUAAAGCUCUGUUGGUAGUGAAGAAAGAUAGAGGUAGUAACUGGCCUUUAUUUGACGGUAAUUACUUAGAAAGUCACGGCUAACUACGUGCCAGCAGCCGCGGUAAUACGUAGGUGGCAAGCGUUGUCCGGAUUUAUUGGGCGUAAAGCGAGUGCAGGCGGUUCAAUAAGUCUGAUGUGAAAGCCUUCGGCUCAACCGGAGAAUUGCAUCAGAAACUGUUGAACUUGAGUGCAGAAGAGGAGAGUGGAACUCCAUGUGUAGCGGUGGAAUGCGUAGAUAUAUGGAAGAACACCAGUGGCGAAGGCGGCUCUCUGGUCUGCAACUGACGCUGAGGCUCGAAAGCAUGGGUAGCGAACAGGAUUAGAUACCCUGGUAGU
rnacentral:rRNA from 1 species